rnacentral:rRNA from 1 species
UACGUAGGUGGCAAGCGUUGUCCGGAUUUAUUGGGUUUAAAGGGUGCGUAGGCGGCUUAGUAAGUCAGUUCUGAAAUAUCCCGGCUUAACCGGGAGGGUGGGAUUGAUACUGCUGAGCUUGAGUGGAGUCGAGGUAGGCGGAAUUGACGGUGUAGCGGUGAAAUGCUUAGAUAUCGUCAAGAACACCGAUAGUGUAGACAGCUUACUAGACUUCAACUGACGCUGAGGCACGAAAGUGUGGGGAUCAAACAGG